UACGUAGGGUGCGAGCGUUAAUCGGAAUUACUGGGCGUAAAGCGUGCGCAGGCGGUUUUUUAAGGCAGAUGUGAAAUCCCCGGGCUUAACCUGGGAAUGGCAUUUGGGACUGCAAGGCUCGAGUGCGGCAGAGGAGACUGGAAUUCCUGGUGUAGCAGUGAAAUGCGUAGAUAUCAGGAGGAACACCGAUGGCGAAGGCAGGUCUCUGGGCUGACACUGACGCUCAUGCACGAAAGCGUGGGGAGCAAACAGG
rnacentral:rRNA from 1 species